rnacentral:rRNA from 1 species
ACGGAUGAGAAGCUUGCUUCUCUGAUGUUAGCGGCGGACGGGUGAGUAACACGUGGAUAACCUACCUAUAAGACUGGGAUAACUUCGGGAAACCGGAGCUAAUACCGGAUAAUAUUUUGAACCGCAUGGUUCAAAAGUGAAAGACGGUCUUGCUGUCACUUAUAGAUGGAUCCGCGCUGCAUUAGCUAGUUGGUAAGGUAACGGCUUACCAAGGCAACGAUGCAUAGCCGACCUGAGAGGGUGAUCGGCCACACUGGAACUGAGACACGGUCCAGACUCCUACGGGAGGCAGCAGUAGGGAAUCUUCCGCAAUGGGCGAAAGCCUGACGGAGCAACGCCGCGUGAGUGAUGAGGGUCUUCGGAUCGUAAAACUCUGUUAUUAGGGAAGAACAUAUGUGUAAGUAACUGUGCACAUCUUGACGGUACCUAAUCAGAAAGCCACGGCUAACUACGUGCCAGCAGCCGCGGUAAUACGUAGGUGGCAAGCGUUAUCCGGAAUUAUUGGGCGUAAAGCGCGCGUAGGCGGUUUUUUAAGUCUGAUGUGAAAGCCCACGGCUCAACCGUGGAGGGUCAUUGGAAACUGGAAAACUUGAGUGCAGAAGAGGAAAGUGGAAUUCCAUGUGUAGCGGUGAAAUGCGCAGAGAUAUGGAGGAACACCAGUGGCGAAGGCGACUUUCUGGUCUGUAACUGACGCUGAUGUGCGAAAGCGUGGGGAUCAAACAGGAUUAGAUACCCUGGUAGUCCACGCCGUAAACGAUGAGUGCUAAGUGUUAGGGGGUUUCCGCCCCUUAGUGCUGCAGCUAACGCAUUAAGCACUCCGCCUGGGGAGUACGACCGCAAGGUUG